UGGGGAAUAUUGCACAAUGGGGGAAACCCUGAUGCAGCAACGCCGCGUGAGUGAAGAAGGUUUUCGGAUUGUAAAGCUCUGUUAGCAGGGAAGAGGAAGGACGGUACCUGCAGAGGAAGCCACGGCUAACUACGUGCCAGCAGCCGCGGUAAUACGUAGGUGGCAAGCGUUGUUCGGAAUAACUGGGCGUAAAGGAUGCGUAGGCGGUUAAACAAGUUAUAUGUUAAAUAUAUAGGCUUAACCUGUAGAAAGCAUAUAAAACUGUUUAACUAGAGUGCAGGAGAGGUAAGUGGAAUUCCUAGUGUAGCGGUGAAAUGCGUAGAGAUUAGGAAGAACACCAGUGGCGAAGGCGACUUACUGGACUGUAACUGACGCUGAGGCAUGAGAGCAUGGGGAGCAAACA
rnacentral:rRNA from 1 species